rnacentral:snoRNA from 1 species
UGUGCAAUGAGGAUAAUAUAUCCAUUGAUAGUCCAUGAUGACUAUAUACGCUAUUCUGAGCCAUGG